rnacentral:rRNA from 1 species
GCAUGUCUAAGUACAAACUAUAUUAAAGUGAAACCGCGAAAGGCUCAUUAAAUCAGUUAUGGUUCCUUAGAUCGUACCACAAUUACUUGGAUAACUGUGGUAAUUCUAGAGCUAAUACAUGCAAACAGAGCUCUAACCGGAGACGGAAGGAGUGCUUUUAUUAGAUCAAAACCAAUCGGCGGCGGUAACAUUUCGGUGUUAUCGUUCGUCGCUUAAUAUAUGGUGAAUCUGAAUAACUUUAUGCUGAUCGCAUGGUCUUGUACCGGCGACGCAUCUUUCAAAUGUCUGCCUUAUCAACUGUCGAUGGUAGGAUCUGCGCCUACCAUGGUUGUAACGGGUAACGGGGAAUCAGGGUUCGAUUCCGGAGAGGGAGCCUGAGAAACGGCUACCACAUCCAAGGAAGGCAGCAGGCGCGCAAAUUACCCACUCCCGGCACGGGGAGGUAGUGACGAAAAAUAACGAUACGGGACUCAUCCGAGGCCCCGUAAUCGGAAUGAGUACACUUUAAAUCCUUUAACAAGGACCAAUUGGAGGGCAAGUCUGGUGCCAGCAGCCGCGGUAAUUCCAGCUCCAAUAGCGUAUAUUAAAGUUGUUGCGGUUAAAAAGCUCGUAGUUGAAUUUGUGUCUCGCACUGUCGGUUCACCGCCCGCGGUGCUAACUGGCAUGUUUGCGAGACGUCCUGCCGGUGGAUGGUACGUAAUAUUGAUAUCUGUUUACGGAUUUCUUUAUUGCUCAUCCGACUUUUUAAAUCCUGUCGCGGUGCUCUUAAUUGAGUGUCGAGGCGGGCCGGCACGUUUACUUUGAACAAAUUAGAGUGCUCAAAGCAGGCUAAUUAAUGCCUGAAUAAUUAGUGCAUGGAAUAAUAGAACAGGACCUUGGUUCUAUUUUGUUGGUUUUCGGAACCCCAAGGUAAUGAUUAAUAGGGACAGAUGGGGGCAUUCGUAUUGCGACGUUAGAGGUGAAAUUCUUGGAUCGUCGCAAGACGGACUAAAGCGAAAGCAUUUGCCAAAGAUGUUUUCAUUAAUCAAGAACGAAAGUCAGAGGUUCGAAGGCGAUCAGAUACCGCCCUAGUUCUGACCAUAAACGAUGCCAGCUAGCGAUCCGCCAAAGUUCCUCCGAUGACUUGGCGGGUAGCUUUCGGGAAACCAAAGCUUUUGGGUUCCGGGGGAAGUAUGGUUGCAAAGCUGAAACUUAAAGGAAUUGACGGAAGGGCACCACCAGGAGUGGAGCCUGCGGCUUAAUUUGACUCAACACGGGAAACCUCACCAGGCCCAGACACUGGAAGGAUUGACAGAUUGAGAGCUCUUUCUUGAUUCAGUGGGUGGUGGUGCAUGG